AUUUGGAGAAAGGCAGCAGCUCAUCAAUCGAGUCCUAAGCGCCUGCAGGGUGCUAAUUGACCAGGGAUAAAUUUUUGAAGUGUCGCGUGUGUUAUGCAGUUUCUAAUCCUUUUCUUAGUCUCUUCCCUACAGGGUGCCUUGUCGCCGAGUCGCUGCAAGGAUAAACCAGCGAGCAGAUCUGCGCGCAGGAUUGGCUAGGAGAGUUGCAGUAGUCGUCGGCGCUCGUUGUCAGGACAUAACAGGUAGCCAAUCUGCGCGCAGGCGUCCGUUGCAGCGGAUGCGGCUUCAAUUCCAGCGGACCCCAUAUUGCGCAAGGACAGCGCUCCCCAUAUUGCGCAAGGACAGCGCUCGCAGCAGCAAGCAGUGCGGGACUAGGAGACUUCAUCAGGCUGUUCUACGUAAAAUAUUAUAAGUAAAUUUUACCAUUAUUUGUAAGAUUAUUUAGUACCCUCUAGUUGAGCCUUU
rnacentral:sRNA from 1 species